CUUCUUCUUGGAGUUCGAUUUCUCCUUCCAUGUCUUCUUUCACUUUUAUCUUCUUCCAAUGGCACUAAUUCUUCUUCCAAAGAAGCAGCAUUAUUUUCUGCCUCUGGAUAAGAAGAUCGAUAAUUACGAUGAUAGUUGUUGUUUGCAUUAUCAUCUCUUCCUCUUGCAUUCUCAUUAACAGAAGCAUGUGAAAAAGAUCGUCGUGAUCCUUGUCGUUGCUGUUGUCGUCUUCUAUUAUCACGCAUAU
rnacentral:ribozyme from 14 species